rnacentral:lncRNA from 1 species
CAAUAUAACCCUACUCUCUGACUCCAUUCAUCCCCGCCACUCAACCAACACCCAAUAGCUGCUCAAUUAUAAUACUCUCAGAUCUCUACUACCGUUAUCUUCAUUUUCUGGUAAAUCUCUGUUUGUGUAUAAAUCCAAUUUAAGUUUAUGUAGUUACCCAUCAUUUUCUUAUACAUAUGUUAUUGGGAUUUUGUGUAGUUACAAUGGAGAAAGAUACAUCAGCUGUUAUGGAAUUAGACGAAUCCAUCCCGAAAGAGGAGAGGAACAACAAUCGUGAUACACCAAUUAACGUUGAUGAAG